CCAAAUUCUUUCAGCCGAAUUCUUUCUGUAAACCGUCUGUCAAUUUCUUUCCACCAGAACCCUCUCUGCUGCCUCGUGAACCCUCUGCCAAUUGACUAUGAGGAAGAGGAUUUGCAACCUAUCGCUGCUUCCCCGUGGCAGUCAUCUCCUCGACUCUCUUCUCGUCUGGCACAUCAUCUUUCUCGUCAUCUCCCGCUACCGCAACGCGACCGAUCACCACUCCGUUGUCUUCCUCUUCCUUAGCAGCAGGUGUCUCUCCCUCUUCUCCACCGAGGCGGGUUCCGUCCACCUCGUCGUGUUCGAUGGCACAUGGAGGCAAGCCAAGAAGAUGGUGGCGGCGAGCGCGUCAUUCCUCUAGCGGUUUGCUAUCAGGGUUUCACUAGGCAGAUGGGAUCGACAGGUGGAGGGGCCGAGCAUGUUCGAGUCAGAGCUGGUGCUUAGGAAAGAGUCAUUUUAGGGUUGUGUGAGCACGAUAGAGGCGGUGGCGAGGGUGUUGCGAGUGAUAGAGCCGAGUGGAAAGGGGCAAAGGUGGAGGGCGCCAUGGUGGGCUUCCAAGCACGCCACCUGAAGCCGACGAAGCCCUGCACCAAAAUAAAGAAAAAGAAGGAAAUCAUUGUAGAAAUGAUGGUAGCUAGGAAGUCAAAUGGAUCUACCGAGGAAUACAAUCUGUUUUGGUGUGUAGGUUUAACAAAAGGAUAAUCGAAUUUGUUGAACAGAAGUUCCAAAGAGAUGCUAUUGAUGUGAAAACCAAUUUCUGGGCUAUCACUAUGAGUAGUGGAUCGACAAGAGAGGUUUCAAUCCCUUAUGGAAUUGUAGUUUGGUCUACUGGUAUUGGCACUCACUUUAUGAAUCAAGUUGGGCAAAUACGCCAUUAGACUAUUAUGUAUAUAUUUUGAAAACUAUAAAGGCCAUUUUUUGGGGCAGGUAAAUUUUUAUUUUGAAUUAAGAAAGGCUACCCUGCUUGGUCUGCCAAUGUUGGUCCAGUUUAUUAUGGUUUUGGUCCUACAUCAUCUUGAAAAUUGGGUUUAUAAAGAUUCUGAUGUCCAGAGUCUCUUAUCACAUGUUUUUCCCCAUAAUCUGUCUUGCUUAUAGCCUGAUUUUUUUUUUUUUUUUGGAGCAAGUAUGAGAGGAUGCCCAUUCUACCCCGUCAUUGUUAUGAUUUUGAUUAAUAUUGUUUAUAAUAACUUGUAUGUUUCUAUUUCCUUGCUUUGAUUUGUGUGUUGCUUAAUGUCUUCAUAAUUUUGCCUUUAAAAUUCAAACAUGCUCAACAUGUAAGAGAUAUGCAGUUAUCAUUUGCUUAUCAGAAUCCUUGUAUCCUUUUCCUAGCGCUUGGAUCUUUUGCUUCGUUUUAAAGAUCUACUCAUUAAAGAGACAGAGUAACUUUUGUAUAUCUCGCAAGAGGUUCUGAUCCAUAUAAUUAUAGAAACCUACACAUUGCCUUUAUGAAAUUUCUAGUUAAAUAUGAGAUUUUGUUUGCUUUGGGGACAUGAAUCUAAGAUGAUGCCCUUGCUUCCCCAAGUUAUUCUCAACCGAUUGUUUUUUUUUACACAAAGAAAACAUUUCAUGAAUUCUUGAUGAGUGAAAUCCAAGAUAUUUUACCUUUUUUAAGGUGAGAAUUUCUUUUUUAUAUUUCCUUUGCAUUUGUUCUCUAUUUCUUUUUUUCCCUCCAUUCAUUUUCGUACCAUUUAACAUCAAACUAAAGCAUAUGCUACUACUUAUUUUCAUAUAAGCAGGCCAGAAGAUUUUAAACGACCACUAUAUCCUAGAAAAUAUUUUGUUCAAUUCUUUAAGACUUCAUAAAUGUAAGUUUGCUAAUUCUUUUCCUAGGUUUACAGCUAUCUGAUACUCUAUUUGUUUUGUUCUAUAUUCUUCUUGCUAGUACAUUUGGUUAUGAUAUUAAUUUGGUAUAAACUAUUUUGGUGAAAAUAAACAAUAUGAUCGUUUUUGGUAAGCUAGUGUUGUCUUGUAUUGAUUAGGAGGAGUUUGAAUAAUGAAUUACUUCACAAGUAACACUCAAAAAAUCAACAAGCAAUUCUAAAUUAGAUCAUAAAUCCAAAAAAAUGAAGAUGACGAUAUUGAGGCUGGUCAUGUAUAGUUUGUCGACAUCAUAUCAUAAAUAUGAAGUUGGAGAUGAAGGCUAAAAUGGAAGUCAUGAGAACAGCAUCAACACUUGUGGCCAGUGGAACACUGUUGGAUGCAUAUUCGAUUAAAGUAGUGUUGGAACAUUAUUGACAAUGAAAUAUUUGAUUGUUAGUAAUUCAUGAUUUUUAUAGUUGAUUUAGAGAAUUGUAUAUAAAAUAAUUA